AUAGCGUAUAUUAAAGUUGUUGCAGUUAAAAAGCUCGUAGUUGAACUUCAGACCUGGCUGGGCGGUCCGCCUAACGGUGUGUACUGUCUGGCUGGGCCUUACCUCUUGGUGAGCCGGCAUGCCCUUCACUGGGUGCGUCGGGGAACCAGGACCUUUACCUUGAGAAAAUUAGAGUGUUCAAAGCAGGCUUACGCCGGAAUACAUUAGCAUGGAAUAAUAAAAUAGGACGUGCGGUUCUAUUUUGUUGGUUUCUAGAGUCGCCGUAAUGAUUAAUAGGGAUAGUUGGGGGCAUUAGUAUUCAGUUGCUAGAGGUGAAAUUCUUGGAUUUACUGAAGACUAACUACUG
rnacentral:rRNA from 1 species